rnacentral:ribozyme from 1 species
UUUCUUUUCUUUUUUUUUUUUAUUUUGUUUUGGGUACGUGAAAAAAAGCAUACUACGAACCAUAGCAGCUUCAGUACAUGUAAAUAAACAUACAUAUGUAUAAUAUAUAUGAAA